GAUGAACGCUGGCGGCGUGCCUAAUACAUGCAAGUCGAGCGAACAGACGAGGAGCUUGCUCCUCUGACGUUAGCGGCGGACGGGUGAGUAACACGUGGAUAACCUACCUAUAAGACUGGGAUAACUUCGGGAAACCGGAGCUAAUACCGGAUAAUAUAUUGAACCGCAUGGUUCAAUAGUGAAAGACGGUUUUGCUGUCACUUAUAGAUGGAUCCGCGCCGCAGUAGCUAGUUGGUAAGGUAACGGCUUACCAAGGCAACGAUGCGUAGCCGACCUGAGAGGGUGAUCGGCCACACUGGAACUGAGACACGGUCCAGACUCCUACGGGAGGCAGCAGUAGGGAAUCUUCCGCAAUGGGCGAAAGCCUGACUGAGCAACGCCGCGUGAGUUAUGAAGGUCUUCGGAUCGUAAAACUCUGUUAUUAGGGAAGAACAAAUGUGUAAGUAACUAUGCACGUCUUGACGGUACCUAAUCAGAAAGCCACGGCUAACUACGUG
rnacentral:rRNA from 1 species